GCGUCAAAGGGUCCCUAUCCUACAAUCCCAAACAAAAUCACCACCCCCUGACCCCCCACCAAGCAACUCUAUUUAAUAAUAGAAGAACCUAUGCUAAAACUAGUAAUAAGAAUCCCUUCUCCACACACACCCUUCAAUCAGAAAUAGAUAAACUACUGAGAAUUAACAAGCUACAAAAAGAAACAAAACAAAACCCAAGCAAAAAUUUCCACAAUUUGUGACACCAACACAGGAGUGUAUUAAGGACAGAUUAAAAGCCCAACAAGGAAUUCAGCUAAUAAACUCCAACUGUUUACCAAAAACAUAGCCUUUAGCAAAACAAGUAUUGAAGGUCUCGCCUGCCCAGUGAUUUUUUCAACGGCCGCGGUAUCCUAACCGUGCAAAGGUAGCGUAAUCACUUGUCUCCUAAAUAGAGACUUGUAUGAACGGCUAAAUGAGAGUCUAACUGUCUCCUAAGGCCAAUCAAUGAAACUGAUCCCCCAGUACAAAAGCUGGGAUAACAACAUAAGACGAGAAGACCCUGUGGAGCUUUAAAGACCCCCUAUUUUACUUUUCCACAAAACCACGGAAAUAACCACAUAUAAAUCAUAGGACUAUUUUUUAGUUGGGGCGACUUUGGAGCACAAAAAAACCUCCAAGAAAGGGCUUUCCCUAUCAAGGCCUACCAGCCUAAAUAAACUUUUCUUGACCCAGACACCUGAUCAAC
rnacentral:rRNA from 1 species